CAGUGAGUUCCCCGCCACGCAUCCCCUGGCGUUGUGGGAGCCAGCACCAUCCUGCCACAAAACCAUCAGGAAUGGGCCAGGGCACUGCACCAGCUUCAGCAGUUCAAGCCCUAGGCUGAUGGAAAAGAUGGAGAUGGGAAUGGCCCAUCCAAAGCACCUGGAAAUAAGAGAACAUCAGGAGCACAUCUGAAACAUGAAGGGGUUUAGAGGCAGCACCUGAACACACAGACCCAUCUCCAGAGAGCUCCCGGCCCCCACUGGGCUCCUGUGCAUCUCCCCUCCCCGGACGUGCUGCGACACCCGUGGUGGCAGGCUUGGCGGUGUUGAGCUGCCAGUGGACUCAUUGCUAUUGUGUGAAAUGCUCCCUUCUUGCCAAAUGGCUCCCCUCCUCUGCUAGCAGCGCAAUCCCGCGAUGACCCACUCCAGGGUGCGGCAGUGCAAGCAGUGGCCCAUCCACCAGGCUGAACUCGGUGGAAGCCCUGCGGCAUGGGAGGGUCUCCUCUGGGAAGGGUGCGGGGGGGACCUACCUGCGCAGCGAGGUGCUCUGUCCCCCUCCAGUGGCAGAGGCCUUCAGGAAGCAGCAGCCAGGCUUCGCUCUCCCAGUUCACCAGGCCACAGCCAUCUCUCGUGCUUUUGGCAGCAGAGCCUGGGCACUCAGGUCCUGCUGGUGGUGGCAAUGCCAUGUGUCGUAGCCGUGGUGGGCUCCAAAGCCAUCAAGGCAUCGUGCCAAGCAAGUCCCAUCCAGGAAGAUGCCCCGGCAGGACAUCCUGUCACCCACAGGAGACCCCAGCCAGCCACGGCCUGGUUGUGUGCAGACCUCGAUCUGCAUGCAGAGCUGCGUGGCUGCAAUAUUUACUUAAGGAAGGUACAGUUUUUGCCUUUGGUUUCUUCCCUGCCCAAGAUUCUAUUGUUUGAAAUGGUUGAAGGUAAUUCACAGUAUCUCUGUACAAAGAGCUACAAAUUUUGUCAGGUGUAUGCCAUGCCUGCAGUUUCCUCAUGGGGCUAUAGCUGAGCAGGGGCAUGGACUGGCUGAGAGUACGCCUACCAGUCCCUCCAUGGGGAAAUGUCCCAACUCUUGGAAGACCCCAAGAGAGCCCAGAACAUCAGGAACCACCUCAAUCAUAGCAUGAAGAUGCUCAGGCGAUUGUCCUAGAGCACUUGCUGGCCUGUGGACGACACAGCACAGACAGGCACAAAGCCCCAUCCCCUGCAGACCCAACCACCUUUGGGCGGUGGGAAUGUCCUCCAGGCUGGGCAUGAACUUGGAACAGGUUGGGUGAAGGUGAGAGGUCUGGGAAGAUAAGGGAGCCCGACGAGCUGGCAGGUCUGGUGUUUUCCCUCUGUGGAAUGACAGGAAGAAAACACAUCCACACCCGCAUGACAGAUUUCACCUCCAAGACAUACACUAGCUACAGUGGGAGCACACGGUGGGGAAGGUAGGCACCACCAGGCCACAGCCCAGCUCACCAUCAUCUGAUUUCCCCCUCCUAAAUAGCACACGCCGGACACAGGCUGGCUUCAUUGGGCUUGCUGAGGCCAUUGAGUAGGAAGAGGGUUUAAUUCCAGUCAGUCAGAGCUGAACUGUUUAAGAUGUGAGGGCAGACUGGGCUGGGAGGAGGGCAUGGGGAAUUUGUUGGACCUACUGUGACCUCUACUGGCUUGGUCUGAAAUUGGUGUGCUGGUUGGCCUGGGCUCUCCAGAGCGUGGUGGGAGCUGGUCCCCUUGCUGCAGGGCCUCUUGGAGUUCUCAUGCUGCAGGCCCUGGGGACCUCUGCCCCCAGCACGGGCUUUGCCCUCAUUCCCACUGCAAAUGUAACGCAGCCCUCCAAAUCACUCAUCUCCAGUGGUACUUUUUGGGCCAAGUUGGGGCACCCGGGACCUUCAGCCCCACUACCCUACAGGCGCUAAGCUAAGCUAUCUGCUGUGCUCUCCUCCUUUUUCCCCAUGUCCCUUGCCAGACAAGUGCCUGCUGGGGUCUGCUAUGGACAAGCCCCAUUGAUGUGAGCAGGACAGCUCCCCCUUUCCUAGCUGCUACCGCAGGAUCUGGAUCUGGGUCCGUUUUCUCCAGAAACAUCACUGGUUCAAGAGCUUCCUGGCUGCUGGUUCCUGAACCCAUGCAGCAAUUUACCUCAGGGGCAGACAGAUGACAAUUUUUCUUCCAUGGCAAAGCUGCUCCUGCCCCAGCCUCAUGUUCCUGACCUCACACAGCAGCUUGUCCUUUCUCCUGCCCUGCCACCGGUGGUACCACUACAUCACCAUACAUGACCACAGCACUGAUCAGUGCCCUCCAAAACUCAGGCCCCCAGAAGAAGCUGUUGCAUCACUUCUGUUUAGCUAAGGGUUUUGAUCUUUUCUCUGCAGUCACAGAGCAGGAAGCUUUCUUUUUUAAAGGAAAUCUGAGCUUUCAGUUUAAUCCUGUGUUUUUAGGAAUGCACGGAUCUUAAUCCAAGCCUGGAGUUUGGACUGUUUUAAAUAGAUGUUGUGUGACAUUUCAGAGCUAGCUGCAUUUAAUUGGUGACCUAGAGUCUGUUGCCACAGCUUUGUAUGAAGUUUUAGGUUAUAUUUUAUGAAAAACACUAAAACACGCUCGCCCACAUACGCCUCUCCAGCCCCUACAUAUAAAGAGAAAUAUGGGGAGAAGAGAGAGAGGCAAAAUCAUUUGCAAGCCAGUAGGGUUCUGAACCUUACUUUGAAAAUCAAAACCAGAGACUCCUUGGUGGUGACGUAUUAGAUUGUCACAAACUGUUCCCAUGAAAGACAUCACAGAGCUAGUUUUGAUCGAGUGUUUGUGUUUUUCCUACACGAGCUACUGCCCCUACAGCAGCACAAAUGCUUCUCGCAGCAGAACUUCUCCAGCUUUCAUCUUUCCAGCACAGUCCCUCCUGCAGCACUAGACCAGACUGAGUGGCUCAUACAGCUUCAGUGGGGUUUGCACUCAUUUGACCUCUCUUGUAAUCCAAAUACCCUUCAUCCCAGUGAGCACACCUUCUUCUGGGCUGUUUGUUCCUGCUAAACAUGGGACAGAUUCUCACCAGUGCUGCAAUAUGUACUGAACAAACACUGUGUCGUGAUUUAAGAAUAAAAUCUGGUGACAUGAAAAACUGAGACAUUUCCAGCCUCCUAGAAAACAUUCCUGGGUUACAGGGAUGUCUUUAGAAAAGCUGAGACACAUGGGCACAUGACACAACACCUCUUUAUCAGCCAACCUUUGUCCUGACCCGUCAGACUGCUUCUCUCCCAUAUGACGUAGCAUAUUGACUGGUUGACAUGCUCUUAUUGUGAUGCUUUAGGGAGAGCCCAGCCUUUCUUUAGCAAAGGGGAUUGUCUGCAUAGACGAGGAGAUGUGGUUGGUACACGUCUGUUCCCUCCGAUAGCUGACAGUGCCCCAGCAGACAUUAGUGAUAGCAAGGAACAAAUGAUGGUGAAAAACACAAGGCGGGAAGCUAAUUUUUAGCUUUACAUUACUUUUUUUGUUGCCAAACCAUUCAAAAGAUUCAAACUCUGAUCUUUCACACCACUGUACUACAUUGACAUACAUUUGUCAAGGACAGAGGUCUGCCCCAAGCAGCACAUGGACCGAGACAUCCAGAUGAAUGAAUGGUACAGGGGGCAAAAAAUGGGAGAGGGAGUUCCUAAAUAUGUGCCAUGUCUCAUUUGUGGGGCUGCUGAGUUAUCCCAGGUAAGGCAAUGUUUUCCCAUUUGGUCUGAAAGAAAACUCGCACCAUUGAGAGAGUUACAACGAUUGCAGCUGUGAGAAAAGCUGCCCUGCGGUAUCAGUCUUGACCUUGCUGAAGCAAAGCCCUCUGAGUCUGUGAGGCAGGGUGGAGUGAAGCAAGAUAACUGAAUGAGAAAGAGACUCCAACGCUCUCAAAACAAGAGACUCAACAACAGGUUAGGAGUGACUGAACAGGAAGCCAGUUGUGGGCUCUGCAGUGGGCUGUAGGCUGAAUCCCCAAAGCUGGAAAGUUCCUUUCAGUGUCCACAUAAAUAUUUCUGUAAGUUAUUUUUAAGCAUGUGUUUUGAAACUGAAAUAUAUUUAGACUGGUUAAAUGAAAAUGUGGUUUACAGAAGGCUGCUUCUUUAGAAAUUUCCCACGCUGGGGAGCCUAGUCUGCCGUGCUCAGCCCGUGCCCAGGCUGCCCAGUCCUGUGGGCAGCAUUGGGUCAGAGGCAGGGGCUCCUCUCUGCACCAGGCAGCUGGGACCAGCCCCAGAACAAGCACAGGAAGGCUGGGUGUUGUUUCCAUACUGUUCUGUGGUCCCAGCCUGCGAGAGUGGGUUAAGAUGUGGUGCAGCAUGUGAGGAGGGCCUAGGAGGAAAUCCUGGAUCUGAAGAAAGCAAACCUUCUCCUUCCUGUGAGCUGCAGCCAAGAGACUUUCCCAGGGCGCAGCAGGGGUCACGAUAGCCGUCUCUUCCCAACGCAACGCAGAGCUGGGGUCCUCGUCACGUGUGGCCGGAUCCCACAGCACUUGCCGUGGAACCAGGAUGUUGCUUUGGCCAAGGUCCAGGCUGGCCGGCACUGUUUUGUAGAAGCUGGGGAUGGAAAAACGUUUACAAGGUGGAUAGUGCAGCCCCUCUGCCCGGUGGGUGGAGAUGCUGCCCACAUUUCUUGUCAAGGACAGUGGCAUGCCAUGGUCUGCCUAUCUCUUCCUUUGAAGUAGCUUUGAUGGGUGCCAAACUUCUUCUCCUUGCUUAUCCCAAGCUGUUCUGCAGUGCUGCUGCCUACAUGGAAACAGUUUUCUGUUCCAGCCCAGAGAGCACUGUUUUGCAGUGGACGGUGAUGUCCUCAUACCUGUGCUUAAGCCUGAAAGAGAAACAGUUAUCUAUGUCCUGGUUCAUAUAAAAUAAUGCUGGGAGUGGCACCAUGUGUAAAAAUGCCUUUUCUUCCAUAUCGCUUUCUUGCUUUUUGCAUUAUCCAUCCAUCUUGUGAGCAAAAUUCUCAAAAGCUUUCCCAGUGGACUUCAACAGGCUGGGUUGAUUUAGGAAAAACCUUUUGAAGCUUCUCUGCUCUAGCCUGCACAGUUGGAUUGCUUUUGGGGGGGAGUUCUGGGAAGUGCACAUCCAACAAAACCUCUUUCCAGGACUCUGAUUUUCUUUUCCAGCUUUUAUAGAUAGUCCAGCUGGAACAGCAGAAUCAUGUAUGCUAUAGUUUAGAAAUCUGACCUAGUUCCUUUAAUCCGUGCUAACCACAGGAGCUCUCAGAGGGCUCAGCAUCAGUGCACAGCCUCGCCAGGUCACUUGCAACACAGGCUUUAAAGAAACAGCUUUAUGCAAGAGUAAAAACAUCCUUUGAUCGCUGUUAAAUUGACCAAAAAUAGGGGGCAGGGGGGCUUUGAGCUUAAACAACAGCAAACUUCAAAUGAGUUUGGUUUCUUCUGCACAUGAAUGAAAGCUAAACUUCAGCGAUGCAGCCUGCAUCACCCAUCAGAGUAGGGGAAUUCCAGAAAACUGAGUGAGAGAUGUAUCUGGUAAAUACAAAUAGAGGAUUAACAACAACUGACCCAAUGGCAGGACCCCAAUCAAGAUGCUGAAAUGAAAUACAGAGCUUACAGUAAGUCCCAGAUUCCCUCCCUGCUCCCCUGCAUAUCCCCAGUGCAUCAUUCCCCAUUGCUAUCUGUGGAAAGGCAGCCAAGGGGGUGGCAAGACAGUGGAAGCGUUAUUAAAUCCCAAAGCAAAGCAGUGCUGCUACUUUUCCCACCCGCAUCACUGUCCUUUGAGGUCCAAAGCCAUCUCUCUGAACACCAUUUCUCCUCACAAAGUCAUCAGCCAGGCACUUUCUCGCUUUUAUUUUUCCAUAAUGCACAGGAGGGCUUCAUUUUUUUCUUUUUUCCUUUUUCUUUUUUUUUUUUCCUAAGUGAGGGGCUACUGCCUGUAAUAAAGGAAGGCUGAGAAAGCCCCUUCUAGGGCGUUCUUUUCUCAGGGUAAGCAGAGGUGUUUAUAAACCAUAUUCGCAGCCUGCUCGGAGCCUGGUCUCUUUGCAAGCUACUCGCGUCCAACGAUGAUAGGUGCCACACAAAAAGUCAGAGGAGGAGCAGACCUGCUCUCCUUCUAGUUGAAGCCAACGACAACAUUUCUUAUCCUAAAUCACCCUCAUCUUUUCCCUCUCUCAUUAUAAAAGCGCUUUCCCAUGCUCCCAGCCAUUCUCAAUAGCAGUGCCCCAGCCCCCUCUGUUUCUUUUUUACCAAGGCUGUAGACUAUAUUCCCUUCCCACGAGAAAAUGCCAUUAUAAUGCUUGCUACUUUUUUUCCCCCCUUCCAUCCCACUCCCAUUUCUGUUUUCUUUUGACCCACGCUGGGAAGAGCUUUCGACCCAGCCGUGCCCACCGAUACCGAGCCUCCUGGCCAAGCAGCUGCAGCUCAUCUGAAACACGGUCCUGUGAAGGAUUGGUUGGACUGGCUCCUUGUCAUGCAUCUUCCCCAAGCUUCAGUAAUGCUGAGCUCUGGCCACCGUGAACACUCUUAUCCACUCACCCAUCUGUGCUGAGCCUUCCCAAAACUCCCCACAGCUCCUCUGUGGGCUUGGUUUUACUUCUCUGGACCUCGGAGGCCAGAUGUUCCCACUGCCCUCUUCACUCCUCCAUCACAGCAGAGAUAACAGCUUGGGGAGGAAACCUCUGGGCCUCGUUGCUGAUGUUUAAAAAUGGCCUCUUGCUUCAUAUGUUGGACGCAGCCUCCAUCUUGCAAAGCAUCCCAACAGCAGCCGCAUGCUUGUCUCACCGCUUUGAUCAGGCCUGUCGAGGAGAACGCUAAAAUGUACAAAAAGGACAUUUGUUAAGAUCAGCUAUAAAAAUUUAAGAGGUGGCCAGUGCCUGUCCUGUGCCAAAAUUCCUCUUCAUCCAGCUCUAUUCUGUGCAGGGAAAUAUUGCAGGAUAUUUGGGGGGGAGGAGGGGGCGGUGUUUGUUUUGCUGGGUUUUAGGCAAUGGGAAUUUUGCUUUUCUUUCCCAGAAUUCACGUGCAGCUGAAGGGGCUUUCCAGAACAAAGCCUAUCCCGCAUUAUAGUGGGCCAAGCGGCACUCUGGCUACACAAAAGCAGAAAUAAUAACAAUAAUCUGCAUAACGAGAUCAUUCAAGAUGGGACAGGUAGGCAGAAGGAAAGGCAGAUGAGUUUCAGGCAGGCUUAUAAACCCUCCUGUCUUUUAGUACCUGACACAAAGCUGGCUACAAGUGCCCAUGCUGGUAGCUCCAUGCCACCCAGCUGCUGUGAGGGGCAGCCCCGACGGCCCCAUGCGCAGCCAGACCCCGCACCCGAUUUCUUCCACCUCCCCCUUUUUCAAAGGGUCCUUUCUUGUCCCUCCCGCCACCUCCCCAUUUCCACGCGUUGCCAGCAUUCAAGGCAAAUAUUUCUCCCAGCCCCGGCCAGCUCUUCCCCCCGCCUUGCUUUUCGGAGGCCCCUUUAUCAGGCAAGGCCACGGCGAGCCAGGCAAACAUUACCUCAGGGGCACUGUGAAUCGGGGCUGGGGGGUGUGAAUAGGUCCCAGGCAUUCCCUCCAGCCUCUUCCCUUUCCUAUAGCAACCACGUCUGGAGCCGGCAGGUCACACAGCCCCUCCGUUGUGCAGCCGGGGGCCGGGGGGGCCGGGGUUUUGCUGCCCCGUCUCUGAGCAGGGGACGGGGCAAGCUACAGUGAUACGGCCUCCACAUGCUCUCUCUGCCUCCACGUGAUGGUGGCUUGGGAUUUUCUGGGCCAGAGGCUGUGUCUUCAUAUCUAACAGUUCUGGAUGGGCUUUUUCUUCAUGAGUUCAUCCAGUCGUAGUUCAGAUUGUCAGCACCUGACACAUCCCAGUGCUUCACCAAGGGUUGUGUGAAGGACUAGGCCCCUUCUCUGCUUUUGUACGCUGUGACACUGCCUACCCCUGUUGCCUUAAAUAAACUGAAAUAA